AUUGAACGCUGGCGGCAGGCCUAACACAUGCAAGUCGAACGGUAACAGGAAGCAUCUUGCUGCUUUGCUGACGAGUGGCGGACGGGUGAGUAAUGUCUGGGAAACGGCCUGAUGGAGGGGGAUAACUACUGGAAACGGUAGCUAAUACCGCAUAACGUCGCAAGACCAAAGAGGGGGACCUUCGGGCCUCUUGCCAUCGGAUGUGCCCAGAUGGGAUUAGCUAGUAGGUGGGGUAACGGCUCACCUAGGCGACGAUCCCUAGCUGGUCUGAGAGGAUGACCAGCCACACUGGAACUGAGACACGGUCCCGACUCCUACGGGAGGCAGCAGUGGGGAAUAUUGCACAAUGGGCGCAAGCCUGAUGCAGCCAUGCCGCGUGUAUGAAGAAGGCCUUCGGGUUGUAAAGUACUUUCAGCGGGGAGGAAGGGAGUAAAGUUAAUACCUUUGCUCAUUGACGUUACCCGCAGAAGAAGCACCGGCUAACUCCGUG
rnacentral:rRNA from 1 species